AUCUUAUCCAGAGAGGUGGAGGGACUGGCCCAUUGAAACCUCAGCAACAGGCAUAAUUGCACUGUGCUAAUUCCAGAGCGUAACGCUUGAAGAUAAGAA
rnacentral:ncRNA from 1 species